AACGAACGCUGGCGGCAUGCCUAACACAUGCAAGUCGAACGAGACCUUCGGGUCUAGUGGCGCACGGGUGCGUAACGCGUGGGAACCUGCCCUUAGGUUCGGAAUAACUCCCCGAAAGGGGUGCUAAUACCGGAUAAUGUCUUCGGACCAAAGAUUUAUCGCCUUUGGAUGGGCCCGCGUUGGAUUAGCUAGUUGGUAGGGUAAAAGCCUACCAAGGCGACGAUCCAUAGCUGGUCUGAGAGGAUGAUCAGCCACACUGGGACUGAGACACGGCCCAGACUCCUACGGGAGGCAGCAGUGGGGAAUAUUGGACAAUGGGCGAAAGCCUAAUCCAGCAAUGCCGCGUGAGUGAUGAAGGCCUAGGGUUGUAAAGCUCUUUUACCCGGGAUGAUAAUGACAGUACCGGGAGAAUAAGCUCCGGCUAACUCCGUG
rnacentral:rRNA from 1 species